rnacentral:rRNA from 1 species
GACGAACGCUGGCGGCGUGCUUAACACAUGCAAGUCGAACGGAAAGGCCCUGCUUUUGUGGGGUGCUCGAGUGGCGAACGGGUGAGUAACACGUGAGUAACCUGCCCUUGACUUUGGGAUAACUUCAGGAAACUGGGGCUAAUACCGGAUAGGAGCUCCUGAUGCAUGGUGGGGGUUGGAAAGUUUCGGCGGUUGGGGAUGGACUCGCGGCUUAUCAGCUUGUUGGUGGGGUAGUGGCUUACCAAGGCUUUGACGGGUAGCCGGCCUGAGAGGGUGACCGGCCACAUGGGGACUGAGAUACGGCCCAGACUCCUACGGGAGGCAGCAGUGGGGAAUAUUGCACAAUGGGCCGAAGCCUGAUGCAGCAACGCCGCGUGCGGGAUGACGGCCUUCGGGUUGUAAACCGCUUUCGCCUGUGACGAAGCGUGAGUGACGGUAAUGGGUAAAGAAGCACCGGCUAACUACGUG